rnacentral:rRNA from 1 species
AGAGUUUGAUCAUGGCUCAGAACGAACGCUGGCGGCAUGCCUCAUACAUGCAAGUCGAACGAGAUCUUCGGAUCUAGUGGCGCACGGGUGAGUAACAUGUGGGAAUCUACCUGAAGGUUCGGAAUAACUGCGGGAAACUGUAGCUAAUACCGGAUGUGUCUGCAAAGAGAAAGAUUUAUCGCCUUCAGAUGAGCCCGCACUAGAUUAGCUAGUUGGUGAGGUAACUGCUCCACCAAGGCUACGAUCUAUAGCUGAUUUGAGAGGAUGAUCAGCCACACUGGGACUGAGACACGGCCCAGACUCCUACGGGAGGCAGCAGUAGGGAAUAUUGGACAAUGGGGGAAACCCUGAUCCAGCAAUGCCGCGUGAGUGAAGAAGGCCUUAGGGUUGUAAAACUCUUUCAUCAAUGAUGAUAAUGACAUUAGUUGAAGAAGAAGCUCCGGCUAACUUCGUGCCAGCAGCCGCGGUAAUACGAAGGGGGCUAGCGUUGUUCGGAAUCACUGGGCGUAAAGCGUAUGUAGGCGGAUCAAAAAGUUAGAUGUGAAAUCCCUGGGCUCAACCCAGGAACUGCAUUUAAAACUAGUGAUCUAGAAAUUGGUAAAGGUUAGUAGAAUUUCCAGUGUAGAGGUGAAAUUCGUAGAUAUUGGAAAGAAUACCAGAGGCGAAGGCGACUAACUAGGCCAUUUUUGACGCUGAGAUACGAAAGCGUGGGUAGCAAACAGGAUUAGAUACCCUGGUAGUCCACGCAGUAAACGAUGAGUGCUAGUCGCUGGGACAAUAGUUUCAGUGUCGAAGCUAACGCAUUAAGCACUCCGCCUGGGAAGUACGGUCGCAAGAUUAAAACUCAAAUAAAUUGACGGGGGCCCGCACAAGCGGUGGAGCAUGUGGU